UACGAAGGGGGCUAGCGUUGCUCGGAAUCACUGGGCGUAAAGCGCACGUAGGCGGACUCUUAAGUCGGGGGUGAAAUCCUGGAGCUCAACUCCAGAACUGCCUUCGAUACUGAGAGUCUUGAGUUCGGGAGAGGUGAGUGGAACUGCGAGUGUAGAGGUGAAAUUCGUAGAUAUUCGCAAGAACACCAGUGGCGAAGGCGGCUCACUGGCCCGAUACUGACGCUGAUGUGCGAAAGCGUGGGGAGCAAACAGG
rnacentral:rRNA from 1 species